CACGUGAGAAUUUGCCUUUAGGAGGGGGAUAACAGAGUGAAAACGCUGCUAAUACCCCAUAUGCUUUCGAGUGAAAUGGAUUUAUUCGCCUAAAGAGAAGCUCGCGGCUGAUUAGCUUGUUGGUAAGGUAAUGGCUUACCAAGGCGACGAUCAGUAUCUGGUUUGAGAGGACGAUCAGACACACUGGAACUGAGACACGGCCCAGACUCCUACGGGAGGCAGCAGUGGGGAAUAUUGGACAAUGGGCGCAAGCCUGAUCCAGCCAUACCGCGUGUGUGAAGAAGGCCUCGGUUGUAAGAC
rnacentral:rRNA from 1 species